rnacentral:rRNA from 1 species
GAGAGCUUGCUUUCUAGAGACCGGCGCACGGGUGCGUAACGCGUAUGGAAUCUACCUUUCACAAAGGGAUAGCCCAGAGAAAUUUGGAUUAAUACCUUAUAGUAUUAUAGAAUGGCAUCAUUUUGUAAUUAAAGAUUUAUCGGUGAAAGAUGAGCAUGCGUCCCAUUAGUUAGUUGGUAAGGUAACGGCUUACCAAGACUACGAUGGGUAGGGGUCCUGAGAGGGAGAUCCCCCACACUGGUACUGAGACACGGACCAGACUCCUACGGGAGGCAGCAGUGAGGAAUAUUGGACAAUGGGCGCAAGCCUGAUCCAGCCAUGCCGCGUGCAGGAUGACGGUCCUAUGGAUUGUAAACUGCUUUUAUACAGGAAGAAACACCUCUACGUGUAGAGACUUGACGGUACUGUAAGAAUAAGGAUCGGCUAACUCCGUGCCAGCAGCCGCGGUAAUACGGAGGAUCCAAGCGUUAUCCGGAAUCAUUGGGUUUAAAGGGUCCGUAGGCGGUCAGGUAAGUCAGUGGUGAAAGCCCAUCGCUCAACGGUGGAACGGCCAUUGAUACUGUCUGACUUGAAUUAUUAGGAAGUAACUAGAAUAUGUAGUGUAGCCGGUGAAAUGCUUAGAGAUUACAUGGAAUACCAAUUGCGAAGGCAGGUUACUACUAAUGGAUUG